rnacentral:ribozyme from 1 species
AAGAGACAGAAAGAGAGAGAGAGAGAGAAAGUGAAGGAGAGAGACAAGUUUCUUCUUCUUUUUUUUUCGUUCUUUCUUUUCCUUUGUUUGUCCAUGUCUCG